rnacentral:rRNA from 1 species
CAGGACGAACGCUGGCGGCGUGCUUAACACAUGCAAGUCGAGCGGAGAUUGCAUUUAUGUAAUCUUAGCGGCGGACGGGUGAGUAACGCGUAGGCAACCUGCCUUGCACAGAGGGAUAACACCGGGAAACUGGUGCUAAUACCACAUGAUAUCAUAACAAGGCAUCUUGAAAUGAUCAAAGGAGAAAUCCGGUGCAAGAUGGGCCUGCGUCCGAUUAGUUAGUUGGUGAGGUAACGGCUCACCAAGGCGACGAUCGGUAGCCGAACUGAGAGGUUGAUCGGCCACAUUGGGACUGAGACACGGCCCAGACUCCUACGGGAGGCAGCAGUGGGGAAUAUUGCGCAAUGGGGGGAACCCUGACGCAGCAACGCCGCGUGAAGGAAGAAGGCCUUCGGGUUGUAAACUUUUUUGAUUGGGGAAGAAAAAAAUGACGGUACCCAAGGAACAAGCCACGGCUAACUACGUGCCAGCAGCCGCGGUAAUACGUAGGUGGCGAGCGUUGUCCGGAAUUACUGGGUGUAAAGGGCGUGUAGGCGGGAUUGUAAGUCAGAUGUGAAAUUCCAGGGCUUAACUCUGGAGGUGCCAUCUGAAAACUAUUAAUUCCUUGAGUGCUGGAGGAGGAAAGCGGAAUUCCUAGUGUAGCGGUGAAAUGCGUAGAUAUUAGGAAGAACACCAGUGGCGAAGGCGGCUUUCUGGACAGUAACUGACGCUGAGGCGCGAAAGCGUGGGGAGCAAACCAGGAUUAGAUACCCUGGUAGUCCACGCUGUAAACGAUGGAUACUAGGUGUAGGAGGUAUCGACCCCUUCUGUGCCCGGAGUUAACACCAAUAAGUAUCCCACCUGGGGAGUUACGGCCGCAAGGCUGAAACUCAAAGGAAUUGACGGGGGCCCGCACAAGCACUGGAGUAUAUGGUUUAAUUCGAAGCAACGCGAAGAACCUUACCAGGGCUUGACAUCCCUCGGAUAACAUAGAGAUAUGUUAGUCCUUCGGGACGAGAAGACAGAUGUUGCAUGUUUUUCGUCAGAUCGUGUCGUGAGAUAUUGGGUUAAGUCCCGCAACGAGCGCAACCCCUAUUGUUAGUGCCAUAAUUAAGUUGGGCACUCUAACGAGACUGCCGGUGACAAAUCGGAGAAAGAUGUGGACGACGUCAAAUCAUCAUGCCCCUUAUGUCCU